rnacentral:rRNA from 1 species
GUCGAGGGGUAUGGUUCUUCGGAACCAGAGACCGGCGCACGGGUGCGUAACGCGUAUGCAAUCUGCCUUUCACAGAGGGAUAGCCCAGAGAAAUUUGGAUUAAUACCUCAUAGUAUUAUGAAGUGGCAUCACUUUAUAAUUAAAGUCACAACGGUGAAAGAUGAGCAUGCGUCCCAUUAGCUAGUUGGUAAGGUAACGGCUUACCAAGGCAACGAUGGGUAGGGGUCCUGAGAGGGAGAUCCCCCACACUGGUACUGAGACACGGACCAGACUCCUACGGGAGGCAGCAGUGAGGAAUAUUGGUCAAUGGGCGCAAGCCUGAACCAGCCAUGCCGCGUGCAGGAUGACGGUCCUAUGGAUUGUAAACUGCUUUUGUACGGGAAGAAACACUGAUUCGUGAAUCAGCUUGACGGUACCGUAAGAAUAAGGAUCGGCUAACUCCGUGCCAGCAGCCGCGGUAAUACGGAGGAUCCAAGCGUUAUCCGGAAUCAUUGGGUUUAAAGGGUCCGUAGGCGGUUUGGUAAGUCAGUGGUGAAAGCCCAUCGCUCAACGGUGGAACGGCCAUUGAUACUGCUAAACUUGAAUUAUUGGGAAGUAACUAGAAUAUGUAGUGUAGCGGUGAAAUGCUUAGAGAUUACAUGGAAUACCAAUUGCGAAGGCAGGUUACUACCAAUUGAUUGACGCUGAUGGACGAAAGCGUGGGUAGCGAACAGGAUUAGAUACCCUGGUAGUCCACGCCGUAAACGAUGGAUACUAGCUGUUGGGGGCAACUUCAGUGGCUAAGCGAAAGUGAUAAGUAUCCCACCUGGGGAGUACGUUCGCAAGAAUGAAACUCAAAGGAAUUGACGGGGGCCCGCACAAGCGGUGGAGCAUGUGGUUUAAUUCGAUGAUACGCGAGGAACCUUACCAAGGCUUAAAUGCAGACUGACCGAUUUGGAAACAGAUCUUUCGCAAGACAGUUUACAAGGUGCUGCA